AAAAUUUGCAAUAGUUUAUACUUUUCAAAUAGACUGAGAAAAAUCAAUUGGGAUAUUUAAAAUGAUGUUUUCUACUAAAAUUGAAUUAUCUCAUUCGCGUAACGGAUUAGACAAUGGCAUCGAAAAAUAAAAGUAGGAUAGAAGCAAAUAGAAACCGAUAGAAAUUGUAUUACAAAAAGAGUCAAAGUGGAGCAAACUGUUAAUGAACGAAGCGUUAUUAUUGGCGAGGCAUUGGACGACGGGGGUGAAUCAAUCAAUAUUUUGGCCUGCUUCAGAUGGGCGAGUGUUGGACAUAAUGAAAGGUCACAGCGCGUCACGAUGCCACACCCAAGUCUUUUUCGUAUGAUCAAAUCUAUGUGCUAGCCACUGCUGUUCCAGUAAUUGGUAUCGAUCUUGACUUAGAUACAAAGAAAUCAUCAGUAGAAGAAUUUGUGAAUCGUUUGAUUGCACCGAGCAACAAUGGCCGACAUCAAGGGAAAUAUCGCACACAAGAAUCUGUUUUCUUUUCAACUUUGUUACAAAAUUCUGGGACGACAGGAAUUUGCCAAAAACAAAUUUAAAUUAUCAAAAUUGUCGCCAGUGGCUAAACCCCCAAAAAUUGCUCAGAAUAGUGAUAAAUAGGCAAGGUUGUUAAAGCUGGUUCAAACUCGCUUAAUAAGCUCACCGACAGAUAUAUUUUACUUUUGAAAA